rnacentral:rRNA from 1 species
AUGUCAUUGAUGCUCAGUUCAAUGCACCAACAGGGUGGGAGGAUAAUGCUUUGCAAUUGGAGAAAUCUUGACCAUACAACAUUAGAUGACAUAUCACACUUGAAGAAAUCUUCUGAUGAUGCAACCUUGGAUGACACAUCAUACUCAAAGAAGUCUUCUGACCAUGCAACCUUGGAUGAAACGUCAUACUCAAAGAAUCCUUUUGACCAUGCAACCUUAAAUGACACGUCGUCUAGCUCAGAGGUCCUGCCACCAAACAUAUUAAGAAUGCUUUUACCUCCCCAAAAAGUAGUGCCUAGUACAGAAAGAAAGGUGAAAAAGGAUUCAUAUUGGUCAUCUACUUCACAUGAUAGUGAUGGUUGCUGUUUAGCAGAUAGUUCAGAUGGGCCUUUGUGCAAGCAGGAGCCUGUGCAUAGUUCAUAUGGGCCUUUGUGCAAGCAGGAGCAUGUGGAUUACUCUGAGAGGCCUGGCAGACCAGAAUGCCCCUUCCUUAUGAGGUUCGGUGAUUGUAAAUUUGCAUCAGCAUGCAAAUACCACCACUCAAAAGACAAAUACCCAACUAGAUACCAUCCGGAAGUACCAUCACUGGGAGGGGAACAGACAGAAUAUCCCGAGAUACCUGGGGAACCAGAUUGCCCCUUCUAUAUGAAAAACAGGUUCUGUAAAUUUGGGGCACAAUGUAGGUUUAAUCACCCAAAGGAUUUGACUCAUACCAUGCAGAGCCCAACGAAUGUAAAAAAAUCUGUUGCCACUGAUGAACAUCAUCAAUCUACCAGAAUUGCAGUAGAAGAUAAUGUGCCCCAGCAAGAGCAGUAUCCUGAGAGACCUGGUCAGCCAAACUGCCGGUACUACCUGCAAUUUGGGAAAUGUAAAUUUAUGUCUGCGUGUAUAUUUCACCAUCCAAGAGAUGGACUUCCAGUUGCGUGGAAACCCUCAGGUCCAGCUCACUCUGAUCAGAUUGAACCUGAAACACAUGGCAUGCCAGAAUGCCCAUUCUAUAUGAAAACUGGGAAAUGUCAGUUUGGGUCAGCAUGUGAAUUUCAUCAUCCCAAAGAUAUAUGUUCAACUAGAGUUUGCUGUGAGUAUGUUUGCUCUGCUUGUGUGUACAUGAGACACUUUUGCCGUGCAAUGUACUACCUCCUUGGAGCAUUUGGCCACAGGACUGACUUGGCAUGUGAUAAUUUCACAAGGCGAGAGAAUGCUGUGCAGACACAAGAACAAAUCAUGUAUCCUGAAAAGCCAGGUGAACCUCGGUGUUUCAACUACAUGAGGCAUGGCUCCUGUAGGUUUCAGAUGAACUGCAAAUACCACCAUCCAGCAGACUGGCUCUCUAGGAAACAGGCGUCGCAGCUAACUGGAGCGGGCAUGACUGAUAUCAAAGAGAGGAGGGUCUCAAGAUGA